rnacentral:rRNA from 1 species
AUUGAACGCUGGCGGCAUGCCUAACACAUGCAAGUCGAACGGUAGCAGGUCCUUCGGGAUGCUGACGAGUGGCGGACGGGUGCGUAACGCGUGGGAAUCUGCCCAAUAGUGGGGGAUAACCCGGGGAAACUCGAGCUAAUACCGCAUACGCCCCAAGGGGGAAAGCGGGGGACCUUCGGGCCUCGCGCUAUCAGAUGAGCCUGCGUCGGAUUAGCUAGUUGGUGGGGUAAUGGCCUACCAAGGCGACGAUCCGUAGCUGGUCUGAGAGGAUGAUCAGCCACACUGGGACUGAGACACGGCCCAGACUCCUACGGGAGGCAGCAGUGGGGAAUAUUGGACAAUGGGCGCAAGCCUGAUCCAGCAAUGCCGCGUGUGUGAAGAAGGCCUGCGGGUUGUAAAGCACUUUCGGCAGGAAAGAAAAGUCAUGCGCCAAUACCGCAUGUCCUUGACGUUACCUGCAAAAGAAGCACCGGCUAACUCCGUG